UUUAGCAAGUAAACUACAAGCAAAGAGCCCUUUAGUUUGUAACCCCGAAACUGAGCGAGCUACUCCAAGACAGCCUAUAUAGGGCAAACCCGUCUCUGUGGCAAAAGAGUGGGAAGAGCUUUGAGUAGAGGUGACAAACCUACCGAGCACAGUAAUAGCUGGUUGCCUGAGAAAUGAAUAGAAGUUCAGCCCUUUAAGUCUUUCCCCCAUCACCCAUGCUUACGCUAAAAUUGAUUAAGGAAACUAAAGGAGUUAAUCAAAAGGGGUACAGCCCUUUUGAUAAAAGAAACAACUUUAACAGGUGACCCAAGAUCAUAUUAACCAAGGAUUUCAAAUUAAGUGGGCCUAAAAGCAGCCAUCUUAUUAGAAAGCGUUAAAGCUCAAAUUAGACAUCAUCCUCAUAUACUGAUAUCACAUCUCCCUCCCUGCCCUCUACCAGGCUGUCUUAUGCCUCCAUAAGAACAAUUAUGCUAAA
rnacentral:rRNA from 1 species